CACUGCCCUGACAGCCUUGACUUCCUGCCCCGCUUGAAAGGGCCUUCUCCGGUCCAGAAAUUAACGUCCCCAUGAUGACAAAGUGCAAGGAGUGCCGGAGGCCACCCAGUCAACCCAAGUGGUCUUUUUGGAGGCAUGGGAGAAGCCAUCAGAGGCAUCCUGCUGCCCCAGUGACAUCGCCAGAGGACCCAGGCCACACUUCUCAAAUGGUGCACUGUGUCAUCACUGGUUUCCAGGUUCUCCAGCCCACCAAAGGAGACUUGACACUUUGAAGAAACAAGCAAGCAAAAAGGACAGAGAGAAGGGGGAACAGGGAUGCAGCAUCACACAGCUAUGAACUUGUGGUGUAAAAGAGAGGGGAAUGCACCAGCUGUUGUGUCCCAGGGUGGGUCUUGGACCCAGGGCCAGUCUUGAGUGCUCAAGGAACCCCAGAGGUUUCGUGGCGGUAGGGCAAGAAACAUGUGAGCAAUCUGAGAGGUAUCCUCCCCCCCCCCCCGAAAAAAAAGGA